rfam:Yersinia mollaretii ATCC 43969 contig01616, whole genome shotgun sequence.
CCAAGAUAUCCUAGAGGUUGCGGAUCGUCAGAAUAACGAUACGCGCCGUACGGCCAAUGGCCGACCGCAAGAGACGAUCAACGUCAAUCUGCGCGCAUAAGCAGAAUCUGCGGAAUUUUACGUUUUGGAAGUGAUGUACGGAGCAUAAGAGCAAUGACCGAAUCAAAAAUAAAGACACCGAUC